CCUACGGGAGGCAGCAGUGAGGAAUAUUGGUCAAUGGGUGAGAGCCUGACCCAGCCAAGUCGCGUGAAGGAUGACGGCCCUACGGGUUGUAACCUUCUUUUGUCAGGGAGCAAUUGAGUCCACGUGUGGGCUUAGCGAGAGUACCUGAAGAAAAAGCAUCGGCUAACUCCGUGCCAGCAGCCGCGGUAAUACGGGGGAUGUGAGCGUUAUCCGGUUUUAUUGGGUUUAAAGGGUGCGUAGGCGGAAUAUCAAGUCAGCGGGAAAAAUUUGGGGCUCAACCCCGUCGUGCCGUUGAAACUGAUGUUCUUGAGUGGGCGAGAGGUAUGCGGAAUGCGUGGUGUAGCGGUGAAAUGCAUAGAUAUCACGCAGAACUCCGAUUGCGAAGGCAGCAUACCGGCGCCCAACUGACGCUGAGGCGCGAAAGCGUGGGUAUCGAACAGGAUUAGAUACCCCUGUAGUC
rnacentral:rRNA from 1 species